CCUUGUCUUUGUGAUCAUCUCUGCUCACACAGCUGUGCUCAGUCAUGUAGGAAAGGAUUCAGUCACUGUACCCCACUCUCAAAACAUGAGCCAGUCAAGACUCCCUUCAGAGAAAAAAAAUUGAAGGCUGUGACUCUACUGAACAGAUGUUCAAAUUUCAAGAUAGUUGAAUAACAUUGAGAGCAAGCCUCCUCCUUGGUCUCCCUGUCAGACUUACUGGAAAGAGCCAGGAAAAAAGGCUGAAGGAAACCAAAUGUCAGUUGCUACAUUCUGUAUUUUUCUGAGCUUCGGAGGACAUCAUGGUGGACAAGGAGACGUCUAUAACAGUCAGUACUUAAACGACAGUGGAAAUAUCUGAAUUCUGAGCCCAUGCCAAGUCUCUAAAUGGAAUGGCAGGGGACCACGGAGAAGGAGUGGGGAUAUGUUCCUGAAAUUCUCCUGCAAGAGUAUCAGAGGGCAUCUCUUGAAACGUGAAAGCAGUAAAUAAAAGAUGUAGGAAAUACAA